GUGCUGGCUUCGGCAACACAUAUACUAAAAUUGGAACGAUACAGAGCAGGUUAACACGGCCCCUAUACAAGGAUGACACACAAAUUCGUGAAGUGUUCCAUAUUGUA
rnacentral:snRNA from 1 species